rnacentral:tRNA from 1 species
GCGGAGGUAGCGAAGCCUGGUCAAACGCGCAGGACUCAGAAUCCUGUCCCUUAGUGGGUCCGAGGGUUCGAAUAUCCCAGAGGAAAAGCAAAUCCUCAGGAUUUGAGAGUCCCUUCCUCCGCA